CUCACUGCACUGAAUCUGAAACGCACGCGAACAAAAUUCUCUCUCACUCUCCAUCCCUCCCUCUCCCUCUACGUAUCCAUCUAUCUCUCUAGUUGACAGCUGCUCGUCUGCUGGUAUAGUAUGGUAGGCACAGCGGGCAGGGAAGGAGAAUGAGUGUCGGCCUCAUCUCCCCAAAGCUCAGAAGGAGACCCACAUAUUAUAUAAAACCUAUUAGAAAGCUGUGUGUGUGUCAGUGUGUCAGUGUGUGUGUGUCAGUGUCUGUGUGUGUGAGUAAGGGUGUGUAUCAGUGUGUGAGUCAGUGUUUGAGUCGGUGUGUAUCAGUGUGUGUAUCAGUGUGUGUAUCAGUGUGUGAGUCCGUGUGUGUGAGUCAGAGCUAUAGCCUGGACGUGUGCGUCGGGAGCUAACACAAGUCUUUAGGUUUCAAUCAUCUUUUUUUGGGUCCAUUUCUUGAUUGGUUAUUCUGAGGCAGGAAAUGAGAUCGUAUGGGGGCGUGUCCCAAGUCAAGAGAGUUUGUGUGUGUGUAUGUGCACCAGUGGAGGCUGCUGAGGGGAGAACGGCUCAUAAUAAUGACUGGAAUGGAACAAAUGGAAUGACAUCAAUCACAUGGAAACCAUGGAAACCAUGUGUUUGACAUAUUUGAUACCAUUCACGAGCCCGUCCUCCCAAAUCAACGUGCCACCAGCCUCCUGUUGUGUGUAGCUCUACCUUCCAGUAGUAUAUCAUAUCUGUGUGACAGUGAGGAGCUCCGUCAUUAUGGCAUGCUGGGAUACUAAUCAUCCGUUAUGUUCUCUCUCUCUCCUUUCUCAGUGCGGUUAAAAGUUCCUCUCCUGUAGCGAGACAUUGUGCUCCAAUAGAAGACUGGUGAUGUGUGGACACCUGAGGAGAGAGGAGAGAGAGGGAGAGAGAGAGGGAGAGAGGAGAGAGAGAGGAAGAGAGAGAGGGAGAUGGGAGAGAUGGCGAGAGAUGAGGGAGAGAGCUGGAGAGAGGAGAGACGCAGAGUCAUUCUGAGCCGACCUCACACUGGGCGCCAAUCUGUCAGACUCACACACGUACGUCAAUGCACGCACAAAAUAUAUCUGGAGAUGUUGUCUGUUGGAAAUCACCAGCGGGAAAUUGUGAUUGGAUUAGAUCACGACCUGAGCCCGGAGCUCAGGAGAUUAGGUGUGUGAUUGGUGGUAUAUUUAAAUAAAAUAACUCGCUCUGUGUGUGUGCGUGCGUGUGGGCGUGCGUGUGUGUGUGUGCAGAAGAAAUAAGUGAGACAGGUGAAUAACCUUGUAAACCGUAGAUAGACAUCAUGGUACCGGUCCCAUUAUGGCGUGUCUGAGCGCCGUUGAGGCCACCUCCAUUUUCAAUUCGUCAGUUUUAUUCUACUACAUCUAUCAGUUGGUGAACUAACUGAAAGGGUGCACACAUCCACCUGGAGGGUUGUUUGGACAUGUAUAAAGUCAAGGACAGUGAUUUACUACCACCUGGAGGGUUGUUUGAACAGGUAUAAAGUCAAGGACAGUGAUUUACUACCACCUGGAGGGUUGUUUGAACAGGUAUAAAGUCAAGGACAGUGAUUUACUACCACCUGGAGGGUUGUUUGAACAGGUAUAAAGUCAAGGACAGUGAUUUACUACCACCUGGAGGGUUGUUUGAACAGGUAUAAAGUCAAGGACAGUGAUUUACUACCACCUGGAGGGUUGUUUGAACAGGUAUAAAGUCAAGGACAGUGAUUUACUACCACCUGGAGGGUUGUUUGAACAGGUAUAAAGUCAAGGACAGUGAUUUACUACCACCUGGAGGGUUGUUUGAACAGGUAUAAAGUCAAGGACAGUGAUUUACUACCACCUGGAGGGUUGUUUGGACAGGUAUAAAGUCAAGGACAGUGAUUUACAGCCACCUGGAGGGUUGUUUGGACAGGUAUAAAGUCAAGGACAGUGAUUUACUACCACCUGGAGGGUUGUUUGAACAGGUAUAAAGUCAAGGACAGUGAUUUACAGCCACCUGGAGGGUUGUUUGAACAGGUAUAAAGUCAAGGACAGUGAUUUACUACCACCUGGAGGGUUGUUUGAACAGGUAUAAAGUCAAGGACAGUGAUUUACUACCACCUGGAGGGUUGUUUGGACAGGUAUAAAGUCAAGGACAGUGAUUUACUACCACCUGGAGGGUUGUUUGAACAGGUAUAAAGUCAAGGACAGUGAUUUACAGCCACCUGGAGGGUUGUUUGGACAGGUAUAAAGUCAAGGACAGUGAUUUACUACCACCUGGAGGGUUGUUUGAACAGGUAUAAAGUCAAGGACAGUGAUUUACUACCACCUGGAGGGUUGUUUGGACAGGUAUAAAGUCAAGGACAGUGAUUUACAGCCACCUGGAGGGUUGUUUGAACAGGUAUAAAGUCAAGGACAGUGAUUUACUACCACCUGGAGGGUUGUUUGGACAGGUAUAAAGUCAAGGACAGUGAUUUACUACCACCUGGAGGGUUGUUUGAACAGGUAUAAAGUCAAGGACAGUGAUUUACAGCCACCUGGAGGGUUGUUUGAACAGGUAUAAAGUCAAGGACAGUGAUUUACUACCACCUGGAGGGUUGUUUGAACAGGUAUAAAGUCAAGGACAGUGAUUUACAGCCACCUGGAGGGUUGUUUGGACAGGUAUAAAGUCAAGGACAGUGAUUUACUACCACCUGGAGGGUUGUUUGAACAGGUAUAAAGUCAAGGACAGUGAUUUACAGCCACCUGGAGGGUUGUUUGAACAGGUAUAAAGUCAAGGACAGUGAUUUACUACCACCUGGAGGGUUGUUUGGACAGGUAUAAAGUCAAGGACAGUGAUUUACUACCACCUGGAGGGUUGUUUGGACAGGUAUAAAGUCAAGGACAGUGAUUUACUACCACCUGGAGGGUUGUUUGAACAGGUAUAAAGUCAAGGACAGUGAUUUACUACCACCUGGGGGGUUGUUUGGACAGGUAUAAAGUCAAGGACAGUGAUUUACUACCACCUGGAGUUAUGACAUCAUUGCUCACAACUAUAAUUAAAUUGUCUGAUCCCUCCUGAUGACUGUUACGUUCCCCAGUUUAUGUGUUGUAGUUUGCAUGUGUUUAUUUCAGGAAAUAGCUUCCUGAAAUCCCUCAAGCAGCUGAUUGGUCGACUCCAUGGCUAAUUGGAGAGCUGACCCCGCCCCCUCGUCAAGACGCAGCUGUCUCCAAUUACCCAUUCCUUAGAAGAUAUAUAAAAGCCAGUGUACUGUUCAGGAGGGAGAGAUUUUGUCUGGAGGUAGAUUUGCUGGGAGUUCAUUGCUGGGAGUUCAUUGCUGAGAGUUCAUUGCUGAGAGUUCAUUGCUGAGAGUUCAUUGCUGAGAGUUCAUUGCUGGGAGUUCAUUGCUGGGAGUUCAUUGCUGAGAGUUGGUAUGUUUUGUGAGUUGCUCAGAGUUUAUUUGAUGUCCUUUGUUUCUUAGUUUGUUUGUUAAAAUGGUUUAAUAUUGUUUCAUUGUUCAUUGUUUCAUUUGUUCCCAGGGGGGGAAAGGGGAAGGCACCUUGGGAGUGCUUAGGCAAGAGGCCCGCGGGCAUACAUAUACCCGUAAAUUAGGUAAGUAGUGGGUAGGCAGGUAAGAUAGGAGAGGGGGGGCUUUGAGAUUUACUUUCUCUGCUUUGGUUCCGUCCAGCCCCUUUUCCCCAUAUUACCAUGUAAAGGAAUAGUCCUUGUAAAUGGUACCACAUUCUGCCUGUUGUCAUUCUUACUUGCACCUACAGUCCAUACCUUUUUCACUUCACGGAGAGUUUAGUUGUCGCAGGGUGUUGCGUUCCCUCUUCAUAGAGGCGUGCGUAACAAUGACCUGGAUAUGUGAUCCUUCAUUAACCUAUAGGAAGUCACACCCAGUUGACUACUUCAAAAUGGUGGAUGUCCUCAAUGGCACUAUGCUAAAACUGGCUUUUGGGCACAAGAGUGCUGUAUCUGUCCCUUUAUCUCAGGUUGGUGGCAGUUCCAACCGUCUUGCUAGAUGCACUGCUCUCGGGGCCACGCCUGCCCUCUCCUGGCUACUUCCUGUAACUACAUCAGUAGCUUUCAGCAGACUGGACAAGGAAGUAUACACGGUAUAUAAAUGUACAAGUCUAUGGUUCUGAAGAUCAAAGACAAUGUUCCUGAAUAAAGUAGACUCAGCAAACUGCACAGAGGUGUUUAAUCACAUUAGAACCACAGAGAGA